rnacentral:rRNA from 1 species
UACAGAGGGUGCAAGCGUUAAUCGGAAUUACUGGGCGUAAAGGGCGCGUAGGUGGUUAAUUAAGUCAGAUGUGAAAUCCCUGGGCUUAACCUAGGAAUUGCAUAUGAAACUGAUUGUCUAGAGUUCGGGAGAGGGAAGUGGAAUUUCCGGUGUAGCGGUGAAAUGCGUAGAUAUCGGAAGGAACACCAGUGGCGAAGGCGACUUCCUGGCCCGAUACUGACACUGAGGCGCGAAAGCGUGGGGAGCGAACAGG